UAGGGAAUCUUCGGCAAUGGACGAAAGUCUGACCGAGCAACGCCGCGUGAGUGAAGAAGGUUUUCGGAUCGUAAAACUCUGUUGUUAGAGAAGAACAAGGACGUUAGUAACUGAACGUCCCCUGACGGUAUCUAACCAGAAAGCCACGGCUAACUACGUGCCAGCAGCCGCGGUAAUACGUAGGUGGCAAGCGUUGUCCGGAUUUAUUGGGCGUAAAGCGAGCGCAGGCGGUUUCUUAAGUCUGAUGUGAAAGCCCCCGGCUCAACCGGGGAGGGUCAUUGGAAACUGGGAGACUUGAGUGCAGAAGAGGAGAGUGGAAUUCCAUGUGUAGCGGUGAAAUGCGUAGAUAUAUGGAGGAACACCAGUGGCGAAGGCGGCUCUCUGGUCUGUAACUGACGCUGAGGAUCGAAGGCGUGGGGAGCAAACAGG
rnacentral:rRNA from 1 species